GGGGGGUAAUGAAGUAAUUUAGGGAAUGAGUACGGAGAAAGAAAGAAAAUGGAAAGGAAUGGUAAGUGUGUGUAGGGUUUUUUUUUUGUGUGAAGAGAAGUAGAAAGACAAAAGGUGUGGUGCGACGUACUGCCAGGUGUUGAAAGGUAAGGUAACAAAAUGGUGUGUGGUGCAACGUGGUGGAGCGCUUUGGACUUCGGCUCUGUUUCCUCGGUCAGUUGCAUUUGCUUUGGGAAGGAAAGGAAGUUUGUUUUUCAAAUUUAUAUUUUAUCAGCACGACAGUGGUUUGGUUUCGAGGGUGACGUGUCGGCCGG
rnacentral:lncRNA from 1 species